GGUGUAGCAAUACAUCACCGGCGGACGGGUGCGUAACACGUGGGAAUAUACCUUUUGGUUCGGAACAACGCAGGGAAACUUGCGCUAAUACCGAAUGUGCCCUUACGGGGAAAGAUUUAUCGCCAAAGGAUUAGCCCGCGUAGGAUUAGCUAGUUGGUGAGGUAAUGGCUCACCAAGGCUCCGAUCCUUAGCUGUUCUGAGAGGAAGAUCAGCCACACUGGGACUGAGACACGGCCCAGACUCCUACGGGAGGCAGCAGUUGGGAAUCUUGGACAAUGGGGGAAACCCUGAUCCAGCCAUGCCGCGUGAGUGAUGAAGGCCUUCGGGUUGUAAAACUCUUUCGACGGGGACGAUAAUGACGGUACCCGUAGAAGAAGCUCCGGCUAACUUCGUGCCA
rnacentral:rRNA from 1 species